CCUACGGGGGGCAGCAGUGAGGAAUAUUGGUCAAUGGACGAGAGUCUGAACCAGCCAAGCAGCGUGAAUGAUGACUGCCCUAUGGGUGGUAAACUUCUUUUAUAUGGGAAUAAAAUGUUCCACGUGUGGGAUUUUGUAUGUACCAUAUGAAUAAGGAUCGGCUAACUCCGUGCCAGCAGCCGCGGUAAUACGGAGGAUCCGAGCGUUAUCCGGUUUUAUUGGGUUUAAAGGGAGCGUAGGUGGAUUGUUAAGUCAGUUGUGAAAGUUUGCGGCUCAACCGUAAAAUUGCAGUUGAAACUGGCAGUCUUGAGUACAGUAGAGGUGUGCGGAAUUCGUGGUGUAGCGGUGAAAUGCGUAGAUAUCACGAAGAACUCCGAUUGCGAAGGCAGUUCACUGGACUGCAACUGACGCUGAGGUUCGAAAGUGUGGGUAUCAAACAGGAUUAGAUACCCUUGUAGUC
rnacentral:rRNA from 1 species